AAGUCGUAACAAGGUCUCCGUAGGUGAACCUGCGGAGGGAUCAUUACUGAGUUCCGGGUCUAACCGACCCGACCUCCAACCCUAUGUUGUCCGACUCUGUUGCCUCGGGGGCGACCCUGACCCCACGGGUCUCCGGUCCCCCCCGGUGGACAUAUAAACUCUGCGUUGACAUGUCGUCUGAGUCUAUUGAUUAAAUCAUAUCAAAACUUUCAACAACGGAUCUCUUGGUUCUG
rnacentral:misc_RNA from 1 species